rnacentral:rRNA from 1 species
UACAUAGGGAGCAAGCGUUAUCCGGAUUUAUUGGGUGUAAAGGGUGCGUAGACGGGAAAUUAAGUUAGUUGUGAAAUCCCUCGGCUUAACUGAGGAACUGCAACUAAAACUGAUUUUCUUGAGUACUGAAGAGGAAAGUGGAAUUCCUAGUGUAGCGGUGAAAUGCGUAGAUAUCAGGAGGAACACCGGCGGCGAAGGCGGCUUACUGGACUGUAACUGACGUUGAGGCUCGAAGGCGUGGGGAGCAAACAGG